UCAGGAUGAUGUGCUGGAGGAAGGCUUGACUUGACCCUCGGCCAGCAUACGAGCAACUGAUGCCCCUGAUGGUGUGUGCUGCAAAGACCCUGGCAAGAGGGAGGUGAGGCCUGUGGAUGACCCAUCCCAGACCUAGCCUUGGGGGAACAGGGCUGGAAGGAACAGAGCCACCUCCCACCGGUGUCACCCUCCAACACACGCGAACAGAGCCACCUCCCACCGGUGUCACCCUCCAACACACGCGCAGCGCAGGACUGCGAUGCUGGCAAGGCCUCCGGUUGAUGUACUGUAGACUUUACAAAGCGCUCCGAGGCCAGGCAAGAUGGCUCAGCUGGUAAAGAUGCUUGCAGAGCAGGACUGGAGACUGACUUUGAUCCCUAGAACUCUUGAAACAUGAGAAAAAAGUGGAUUCUUCCAAGUCGUUCUCCGACCUCUCCAUGUGCACUACAUGCACACAUACAUUCUAACAAUAAUAAAUAAAACAAAACAGGCCUGGCGAUAUUUCCC
rnacentral:lncRNA from 1 species